UGAUCCAGCCAUGCCGCGUGUGUGAAGAAGGUCUUCGGAUUGUAAAGCACUUUAAGUUGGGAGGAAGGGCAGUAAGCUAAUAUCUUGCUGUUUUGACGUUACCGACAGAAUAAGCACCGGCUAACUCUGUGCCAGCAGCCGCGGUAAU
rnacentral:rRNA from 1 species